GCCUGGGUGGCUCAGUUGGUUAAGUGUCUGAGUUCUGCUCAGGUCAUGAUCUCACGGCUCGUGGGUUCAAGCCCCACAUUAGGCU
rfam:Felis catus isolate Cinnamon breed Abyssinian chromosome A3, whole genome shotgun sequence.